AUGAACGCUAGCUACAGGCUUAACACAUGCAAGUCGAGGGGCAGCAUCAUCAAAGCUUGCUUUGAUGGAUGGCGACCGGCGCACGGGUGAGUAACACGUAUCCAACCUGCCGACAACACUGGGAUAGCCUUUCGAAAGAAAGAUUAAUACCGGAUGGCAUAAUUAUUCCGCAUGGGAUAAUUAUUAAAGAAUUUCGGUUGUCGAUGGGGAUGCGUUCCAUUAGGCAGUUGGCGGGGUAACGGCCCACCAAACCAACGAUGGAUAGGGGUUCUGAGAGGAAGGUCCCCCACAUUGGAACUGAGACACGGUCCAAACUCCUACGGGAGGCAGCAGUGAGGAAUAUUGGUCAAUGGACGAGAGUCUGAACCAGCCAAGUAGCGUGAAGGAUGACUGCCCUAUGGGUUGUAAACUUCUUUUAUACGGGAAUAAAGUUAGCCACGUGUGGCUUUUUGUAUGUACCGUAUGAAUAAGGAUCGGCUAACUCCGUGCCAGCAGCCGCGGUAAUACGGAGGAUCCGAGCGUUAUCCGGAUUUAUUGGGUUUAAAGGGAGCGUAGGCGGGUUGUUAAGUCAGUUGUGAAAGUUUGCGGCUCAACCGUAAAAUUGCAGUUGAUACUGGCGACCUUGAGUGCAACAGAGGUAGGCGGAAUUCGUGGUGUAGCGGUGAAAUGCUUAGAUAUCACGAAGAACUCCGAUUGCGAAGGCAGCUUACUGGAUUGUAACUGACGCUGAUGCUCGAAAGUGUGGGUAUCAAACAGGAUUAGGUACCCUGGUAGUCCACACAGUAAACGAUGAAUACUCGCUGUUGGCGAUAUACGGUCAGCGGCCAAGCGAAAGCAUUAAGUAUUCCACCUGGGGAGUACGCCGGCAACGGUGAAACUCAAAGGAAUUGACGGGGGCCCGCACAAGCGGAGGAACAUGUGGUUUAAUUCGAUGAUACGCGAGGAACCUUACCCGGGCUUAAAUUGCAACUGACGGAAUCGGAAACGGUUCUUUCUUUGGACAGAUGUGAAGGUGCUGCAUGGUUGUCGUCAGCUCGUGCCGUGAGGUGUCGGCUUAAGUGCCAUAACGAGCGCAACCCUUACGGGUAGUUACCAUCAGGUUAUGCUGGGGACUCUACCCGGACUGCCGUCGUAAGAUGUGAGGAAGGUGGGGAUGACGUCAAAUCAGCACGGCCCUUACGUCCGGGGCUACACACGUGUUACAAUGGGGGGUACAGAAGGCAGCUACACGGCGACGUGGUGCUAAUCCCAAAAGCCUCUCUCAGUUCGGAUUGGAGUCUGCAACCCGACUCCAUGAAGCUGGAUUCGCUAGUAAUCGCGCAUCAGCCACGGCGCGGUGAAUACGUUCCCGGGCCUUGUACACACCGCCCGUCAAGCCAUGAAAGCCGGGGGUACCUGAAGUACGUAACCGCGAGGAGCGUCCUAGGGUAAAACUGGUGAUUGGGGCU
rnacentral:rRNA from 1 species